AAAUACCUCUUGGUUUGAGGACUGUCGUGCGCAAGCCGGCUUUCCUUGCACUUUCCAGUCUAUGUUUUAUAAUAUACACCUAAAGUAUGUUUCAGGAUGUCAUUUAAUGGGCAUAACUGCCUUUAAUUACCAUACAACUUUCAACAACGGAUCUCUUGGCUCUCGCAUCGAUGAAGAACGCAGCGAAAUGCGAUAAGUAAUGUGAAUUGCAGAAUUCAGUGAAUCAUCGAAUCUUUGAACGCACCUUGCGCUCCUUGGUAUUCCGAGGAGCAUGCCUGUUUGAGUGUCAUUAAAUUCUCAACCUUUUCAAUCUUUUAUUGGUUGAAUUAGGUUUGGAUGUGGGAGUCUUUUUGCUGGCUUCUUUAAGAGGUCGGCUCUCCUUAAAUUUAUUAGCAGGACCUUUGUUGCCCUCUCAGUGUUAGUGUGAUAAUUAUCUACGCUAUUUGCUGAAAGCAACUCAUAAAAUAGGGUUUCCAGCUGCUAAUCGUCUCU
rnacentral:rRNA from 1 species